GGAUCUCCCAGUUCUUAGAAGUCACCAAAGUUUUCCGGUAAAUAGAGCUUGCAUGAUUUUAGAAGAGCUUUGACGAUGGUCCUGUUUGGGUGCAUCUCCAAAUAAGACUGGAAUUGAUUUGUCAUCAGCCAUGUGCAAUUUGCUCAACUAGCGCAUCUACAAAAUGUGGAUGGUGGGAGGUGCUAAAGGCAUCCAACUGUAAAAUGAUUCCCUGAACUGAGCAUCCGAUGUGGAGGGAUGCCAGGAAAAUCAUUGGCUUUGCCUUCCGUGACAUUUGAAGCUGCAAAAUUCUGUUCCCUUUCUUCGUCAGAUCUUUCAACUACACCAGCUGUACUAAAACCGAAAUUGCAUGGCAUAAUACCAACUGUGCAAACUAAUCUUAUCAGAAAAAGUGCAUGCGGCUUUGUUGAUGCAUCUAAAAAGUGGGAGUUACACUCAACUGCACAGCCACAGUCAGCAGUUCUAUUGGAAGAUGAAGAAGAAAAGUAGAUGUGGGAUGCCUGCAGACAAGCUCUAUCUGCAUUCAAAUUCAGCAUUGAGGAGGCAGAUGUAAUACUGAAUAAAGCUUUUGGGUGGGCCCAUUCGCCUUAUUGGGGUGAAGAGAGAUCGAAAGAAGUUCCAAAAGUUG